ACAAGAAAGGGUUUAUGUAGGACUGAGUCCCAGAGUAAAAAUCUCUUAAGCCAAAUGAGGGAGAAGGUAGAGUUUAGGUGUGUGGAGAAAUAUAUUUAUUAACUCAGUAAAGAAAAUACCCUUUAUUUUUCAUCAAAGAUUGAAGCUAAAUUAGUCCACACCCUGGUUCUACUUUAACAAUGACAUGAAAUUAACAUCAUGCAUUUUAUAUAUAGUUAUAAUACUAUUACUAUUGUCCAUCAUUGCAAAUUCAGUGAAUAAUUUUUAAACUAUAUGUUGAAUAUUAAAUUAAAGGGAUGUGACAAACGGUGCCAGUAACUUCAGGUUAAAGAGAACAGGUGACAUAUGCAAUUGGCAGGUUCGUUCGUUUGUAUCUCGCACGCUGAACGUGUUUUCAACAAGGUCAUCAGGGUCUGUGAACGCCCCCCCCACCCCAAUCCAGUGACACUUUUUAGAUGCAAGUCUCAUGUGUCAUUAUCUGUUUCUUCAAACACACACACACAGGCAGCUUGUAGCACAUCCAGGGCUUGUCCAGGAUUGUAUGUCAGAGCCCCAAACCUAGUCACAUCUCGUCUGUUUGGUUUUGUUUGUUUUUUUUUUUUUGUUUUUUAGUCCAGACAGUCUCACUACUGUGAAUGUAACCUCGUGAUUCAGCUACUUAAUUGAUACAUGUGGGGUCUCGGUUCUCUGAACGUUUUUAAAGAGGAGUGAGUAAUAUCUUCACUAAAGUUGCAGUUAAGAAGCCAUUUCUAUUUAAAGCCUGUGAUUUGAUGCGUCCAGUUUAUUUCACGUCUUAUAUUACCCCAGCCGUUCAUUGCAGCAUUUUUUGGUUUUAAAUUCCACAGCUAAUGAAGGAGCCAUAAGGCUGAAAGGCGUUCCAGCUGCGCAUAUGUAAGCACUGAAUGUCGUCAAAACUCAUUUAUGAAAUGGCAUUUUCCUCUUGAUUACAUUAAUUCUGUAGCAGAGAGAAAGUUAAACCUGACCAAAAGGGUUAUUAUCCCCUAAGAAAAAUUCAAUGCACAUUCCCACAGAAGAUCUGACGACACAUCCUGCAAACCUUCACUAGACAUCGAUCAAAGGGUAAUUGUGCUGCUUUGUUUUUAUAAUUCAUAAAGAAAUGUUGGUGGGGAAUUAUGUCUGCUGUGUGCAAAUAGUAUUCCUCUCAGAGAAAGUUAGUGGCUUAUUCAUAAUGUCACGCCUCUGCUCCCAGAAGAUGCUUCGAAAGAGUUUGUUGUUGUUAUUUCUAGCCAGGAAGGCAAAACUGAUUGAUUCAGCAAACUAUAAACUGCAACUACGCAUUUGCUUAUUACUAUAGUUUGUUGUUUUGCAUUAUUUUAUAGUCAGUUUGUGUAUUAAUGCAUCUGUCAGGUCAGGCAACACUGAAGCAGAGUCUGCUGGUUCAGUAAUCAUACUUUGGAAAGGUGUAAGCAGUCCCAAAUUAGCCAUAGUUCUCUCUCCGUCUGCCUCAGGGUUGCAUGUGAAUGUCUGUUAGAAGUUGCAAAGACAGCUCUUUCUAUUAAAUCCCCUCUUAUUCAAAUAGUUAACACAGACCAUGCUACCAGCUACUGUGCUUUCAACCUUUAACAAUAACUGGAGGCUCUUUUCUGAUUGUCACAUAGUGGGAAUGUACAUUUAUGUUUCGUUUGGGGGGUCACCUCUCUUUCUUUAGUUUCCUUUUUCUGCUUCACAAAUUUUAGAAGUUUUUUUUUUUUUAGAAUGGCAUCUCAGCAUCUGUUAACUCCUUCAGCUUUUUUAUUAAACACCACUUUUUACAAACCCCUGUGCUAUUUGAUAUAGAGGUGCCAAGAAAUACACGCACCUUGAUUUGUUUGAUUUUAUGAAACCCUUGGAUCACAAGCCUCUUUCAAAUAAAUCAUCAUCACAUGGAAUAUGUAAAUACUUUUUCUAUACCAGCCAUGUGCUGUCACUUUGCAUACUGUAUAUCAGCAGAAUUGGUAACCAAAGUUUUUUGAGUAUCAUUUGAGGCCACUACAUUCUCAUACUGUAUCCGUCCAAACAUUGGUUCAGCUUGGUUUUACUUACAGCUAAUAUAAGUCUGGGUUGCUGUCUCUUCUAACCUGCUGAUCACGACUUUAUCUCAAGUUCCUCGCUUUUGUCUUUGAGGUGGAGUCAAUCACUACUGCUUAAUCGAAUCACUACACUGGGACUGUGUGCUUAUUGGAGAACGAGGACAUCAGCUCUUGGACACUGACAAGCCAGUGUUGACACAGCAUGUUUGGAAGAGCCAUGGCAGUUGUACAGUCAGACUGUGUGAAAUUUUAUCACCCCUGUCAUUGUCUUGGAGGUGUUGUCUAAGCACAUUUCAGUAAUGUAACUCACCAGCCGCCAGGAUGUUCAGCAUCUAACUUGUCCAGCAAACCUGCGAAUACCGUGUGCGUGUGUCUGUGUGCGAGAUGAUGGCAGUUCCCUUCAUGAUGAAGCCUGGGCCUGAUAGUUCUGUGUAAGACAGGUGUCAGUAACAUUUAUGCUUUGCUCAAGGGUCUAUAAUUUCACCCCGUGUUAUGGGGGAAAAUUGUUACAUCUCACCACUGUACUUUGUGUCACUCAUUACUGUUCAGUGUCAAGGAUGUGUUUGUGCGCGUGUGUGAGACAGACCGGGUGUGUGCAUACCGCCCUGUCUGACCAAACAGUUUUCUUUUUGAACUAAGAAUACUAGUUGUACUUGUGAAUGGUUUUUCUAUUAAGUUCCUAGAUUCAAUGUUCCUUGCCUUUCUGCAAGUAAAAAAUGCUGUAUUUAUUACAUGCCACAGCGUUUAUGCAAUUGUAUAAUCCUUUUUUUUUUUUUUGUGUGUUCCUUAUCGUCAAUGUAAAUUGUUGUCAACAUUUUUGUGGCGAUGGAAAAACUUCUGCUAAGGGAGGUUUUCUGUACUUUUUGGACAAUGAUAUGGAUUUGUGGGUAGAAUUUUGGAAAUUCGUUUCUAAGUGCUUUCAAGUAUUUACUUGGCCUUAUGUAAAUAUCUAUAUGACAUUUCAGAAAGGUAUGUAUAGUAAUUCAACCUGAAAUUGUUGUAAAUAAAUUAUAUAUUGUUAAA